rnacentral:ncRNA from 1 species
CUUACCGAUUGGUUUAACGUCUUACCAUUCGUCCCUUCCGUGUGGGCUAUGAAUUUAGAGGACUGUCCUUAUACGAGAGACCGGAUGGACGCACGCUGGGUACCAUUGUUCUGCAAAGGCAUAACUGGGUAGCUAUGUGCGGAAGGGAUAAGUGCUGGAAGCAUCUAAGCAAGAAGCCCCCCCUCAAGAUGAAGAUUUCCCAUAGCGUAAGCUAGUAAGAAUCCCUGAAAGAUGAUCAGGUUGAUAGGUUCGAGGUGGAAGCAUGGGUGACAUGUGGAGCUGACGAAUACUAAUAGAUCGAGGACUUAACCAU